GUCCACGCCUUAAACGAUGGGUACUAGGUGCUGGGCCGUAAGGUUCAGUGCCAAAGCUAACGCAUUAAGUACCCCACCUGGGGAGUACGAUCGCAAGGUUGAAACUCAAAGGAAUUGACGGGGGCCCGCACAAGCAGUGGGAGCAUGUGGUUCAAUUCGAUGCAACGCGAAGAACCUUACCCGGGUUUGAAAGGCCAAGCGACAACCGGUGAAAGCCGGUCUUGUAGCAAUACACGCUGGUACAGGUGCUGCAUGGCUGUCGU
rnacentral:rRNA from 1 species